rnacentral:rRNA from 1 species
UACGUAGGGCGCAAGCGUUGUCCGGAAUUAUUGGGCGUAAAGGGCUCGUAGGCGGUUUGUCGCGUCGGGAGUGAAAACCUUGGGCUUAACUCAGGGCUUGCUUUCGAUACGGGCAGACUAGAGGUAUGCAGGGGAGAACGGAAUUCCUGGUGUAGCGGUGAAAUGCGCAGAUAUCAGGAGGAACACCGGUGGCGAAGGCGGUUCUCUGGGCAUGAUCUGACGCUGAGGAGCGAAAGUGUGGGGAGGCGAACAGG